UAAGCUUAGUGCUACCUCUUUUCUUUUGUUUGUUAUUUUCUUUGACUAAGAGGAUUGAGAGUUUCUGAAUAUUGUAAAGUGAAUUAUGGAAUGGAAAUGUGAUUGGUAUUGUUUGAGAAGAAGAAAGAUUGAAAGGUGAAAUAUGAUUGUAGUUCAGCAGAGAGAAUGAGUCUGUAUUUGUGUGAAACACUGUAAUAUGAAUGGCAGUUCUGUGUGAAGAAUUCCAGUGAUUGGAACGAGGGUAAUUGUGUGCUGAAAGUUGUGAGGGCGUAGUAUUACAGUUGGAGAUUAUGAGGGUGAAUAUAUUGGUGGAAAUAACAGUUAUUGGUAUGACUGAAUUGCUAUAAGGAAGAGACCGAUAAGGUGAAGGAGAAGAUUAUAGUUUCCUUGUGUGUUUAGAUAUUGGAAAUAGAGACGAUACAU
rnacentral:lncRNA from 1 species